GAUGAACGCUGGCGGCGUGCCUAAUACAUGCAAGUCGAGCGAAGCGGCGGAUGGGUGGGUAACGCGUGGGGAACCUGCCCUUAAGUCUGGGAUACCAUUUGGAAACAUAUGCUAAUACCGGAUACUUAAGGAUGGACCUGCGAUGCAUUAGCUAGUUUGUAAGGUAACGGCUAACCAAGGCGAUGACGCAUAGCCGAGUUGAGAGACUGAACGGCCACAUGGGGACUGAGACACGGCCCAAACUCCUACGGGAGGCAGCAGUAGGGAAUCUGCCACAAUGGACGAAAGUCUGAUGGAGCCACGCCGCGUGAGUGAAGAAGGGUUUCGGAUCGUAAAGCUCUGUUGUUAGUGAAGCGGUAAUCAACCAGAAAGUAACGGCUAACUACGUGCCAGCAGCCGCGGUAAUAC
rnacentral:rRNA from 1 species